AUUAGUGUGGCAGAGCUUGGCUAUGCAAAAGAUCUAAGCCCUUUCUUCGGAGGUUCAAAUCCCCCCACUAAUU
rnacentral:tRNA from 1 species